rnacentral:rRNA from 1 species
AAAUUGAAGAGUUUGAUCAUGGCUCAGAUUGAACGCUGGCGGCAGGCCUAACACAUGCAAGUCGAACGGUAACAGGAAGCAGCUUGCUGCUUCGCUGACGAGUGGCGGACGGGUGAGUAAUGUCUGGGAAGCUGCCUGAUGGAGGGGGAUAACUACUGGAAACGGUGGCUAAUACCGCAUAACGUCGCAAGACCAAAGAGGGGGACCUUCGGGCCUCUUGCCAUCAGAUGUGCCCAGAUGGGAUUAGCUAGUUGGUGAGGUAACGGCUCACCAAGGCGACGAUCCCUAGCUGGUCUGAGAGGAUGACCAGCCACACUGGAACUGAGACACGGUCCAGACUCCUACGGGAGGCAGCAGUGGGGAAUAUUGCACAAUGGGCGCAAGCCUGAUGCAGCCAUGCCGCGUGUAUGAAGAAGGCCUUAGGGUUGUAAAGUACUUUCAGCGGGGAGGAAGGUGUUGUGGUUAAUAACCGCAGCAAUUGACGUUACCCGCAG